rnacentral:misc_RNA from 1 species
GGAGACUAUAAGGAUUAACUAAUAUAUUUACUAUAAGUAAUUUGAUGUAAGGAUCUCUUUGGUAUAAUUGGGUUAAUGUGUAGUAUGAGUAGUAUAGUUUUGAACUUGUAAUAGAUUAUUUAUUAUAGAUAAUAGUGAAAGAUGGCAUGUUUGUGAAUAUAGCCCAAGGGACGACUAUGGUUCGGUGAUUAAUGAUUCCCAUAGCACUCUGAAACGUGGAUAGAAAAGUUAGGAGACUCCUGAUAGGUCCAAUGGAGCAGGAAUGCACUCUUCUAGAGAAGAGCAGACCGAUGGCGCUAGCGUGGCUCUUAGAGGUGCAUGCUCGA